rnacentral:rRNA from 1 species
UGGGGAAUAUUGGACAAUGGGCGAAAGCCUGAUCCAGCCAUGCCGCGUGAGUGAUGAAGGCCUUCGGGUUGUAAAGCUCUUUUAGAUGGGAAGAUAAUGACGGUACCAUCAGAAUAAGCCCCGGCUAACUUCGUGCCAGCAGCCGCGGUAAUACGAAGGGGGCAAGCGUUGUUCGGAAUUACUGGGCGUAAAGGGUGCGUAGGCGGUUUGCCAAGUCAGAUGUGAAAGCCCAGGGCUUAACCCUGGAACUGCAUUUGAAACUGGUGAACUAGAGUAUGGGAGAGGUAAGUGGAAUUCCCAGUGUAGAGGUGAAAUUCGUAGAUAUUGGGAAGAACAUCAAUGGCGAAGGCAGCUUACUGGACCAUUACUGACGCUGAGGCACGAAAGCGUGGGGAGCAAACAG